CAGCAGAGCCUGUGGAGGGAGCUAAAGGCAGGAGACCCCAGAAGAAUGAGUCGGGGGCCAUAAGAUGGGCAGAGCCAGGACAUGCCAGGCUUUGGGGGUCCAGGUGACUGUCCUGUGACCAAGGAGGGCUGCAUUUGCAUUUGAGUGGCUCUCAGACCAGAAUCUGAAGGACAAAUUCGGCCUGGAGAAUGCCUACAGCCGCUUCCACCCCUCGCUGGGGACUGUCAACCCCACCACAGAGUUGCACUUUCAGAGGCCAGAGGUGGUGAGAAUGACUCGGUGAGGUACAGAGGCUCCCAGCCCUCAUGUAGAUGUAGACCAGAGAGCAACAGAGAGCCCACUGUGAACAGCCCUGGCUGGCCAAGAAGAAAGCAGUGCGGGGCCCUGUGGCCCUGCAGGUGCGCAUAGGUGACAGAUUGGCCUAUGGUCUCCUGCUGCUGCCUGCUGGAAAGGCGGUGGGGGCUGUGAGUGUUUCUGUCUGCUCCAUCACCCUCGUCCCGGCCCAUGAGUCCGAGGCUACCAGAACUCUUGGCUUCUUUGUUCACCCUUAGCUUCUCCCCACUGGGGAAUUUCCC
rnacentral:lncRNA from 1 species